AAAGCUUCGACUAAAAUUUGAUAGAACUUGUUUCAACUCACAUUAACUACCUCGAAACAUUAUGAAUCUCAACUUCUUCCUCUGCCUAACCUUUCUCCUACUAUUUGUCUUCCACUGCCGAGCCGAGGAAGGGCCUCAUCGAAUUCUGAAGCGAAUGGUACAGCAGAAUCAAAUUAAAAUGAAGAAAUUCACUAAGCGUGCUCCUGUACCGGAAGAACCAGAUCAAGGAACCAAGGUUAUCGGAUGCUUCUGGAUGGGUUGUCAACAUAGUUAACCUUUCGGUCGUCGCUCGAAUUUUU